rnacentral:lncRNA from 1 species
GGAGGCUUGGUGCUGGCUGAGGUGUGUCAGUGACUGCCACGGGCUGCACCCCUCACUGUUGCCUGAAGUCACCCAAGGUCGCCCAAGGUCAGUGGGAAAUAUCCAGGGAUGACGGUGGAUCCUGGGAGCGCCUCACAACAGCUACCUUCGGCACAGCACGACUUUGGAAGGCCUAAAGUUUGAACCAAAAAUGGAGCCCCUGCCGCUCUCCCCAUAUGGGAUUCAAAUUGAAAAGCUACAAGGUCCACACUCUGCUGAAGCCCCACACCACUGCCACUCUGGAACAGGCACCUCCACCAGCCACCCUGUCCCUCCCUGUCAUUUAUUCUCCCAGCUAAAGCAUGAAUCUAUAAAAGGAAGCUCUCUUCUCACAGGAUCCAACUCGUCCUCCACCCUCACACAACACUCCCUCGAGGAAGAUGUAAUGUUCCAGGAAUGGCCCAGCAUGUGGUAAAGGGCACAGAGCUUCCUAUAAAAGCUGGGCUAUGGCUCAAGGAUAAAGUCUGUGGUGGGGGAGUGGGAGAAGCUGGCAAUGUCUUGAUUCUACUGUUGAAGUUACCACUGUCUAAAAUCCCCUAGUCAUUAUGGAAAGACAGAGGACGAAACAGCCAUCCUGUCGACUUCUUUGUAAGGGGCAUCAGAGUCAAAGACUGCCAGAACACCCACACUGAUCCUACCUGCAUAAUGUGGAAUGAAUGCUAUGGAUAAACUGCUGAAGAUGGUUCCUGUCCAUUUGACUCUGAAGGGUGUCUUCUUUCACGUUGAAGAACAGGAGACAAUCAAAAUGUGAAACGUAUGCUGAAGCCAACCAGAACAUCAAAGGACAGUCAAAAGCGCUAACCAUGAAACUAUAUUUCUACUAAUACAUUCUUUUAAAAAAAAAAUAAA